rnacentral:rRNA from 1 species
GACGAACGCUGGCGGCGUGCUUAACACAUGCAAGUCGAACGAAGUGGCGAACGGGUGAGUAACGCGUAAUCAACCUGCCCUUCAGAGGGGGACAACAGUUGGAAACGACUGCUAAUACCGCAUACUGAAGGAGGGGAUUGCGUUUGAUUGGCUAGUUGGAGGGGUAACGGCCCACCAAGGCGAUGAUCAGUAGCCGGUGUUGGAGGAUGAACGGCCACCAUGGGACUGAGACAAGGCCCAGACUACUACGGGAGGCAGCAGGGGGGAAUCUUCGGAAAUGGACGAAAGUCUGACGGAGCAACGCCGGGGGAGUGAUGACGGCCUUCGGGUUGGAAAGCUCUGUUAAGCGGGACGCGGUACCGGAAUAGAAAGCCACGGCUAACUACGUGCCAGCCGCCGCGGUAAUUC